AGUGAUGCCAACCUGCCGGCAGCUCUGUCCCUGUCCCGCCCCGCCUCCAGAGAGACUCUUCCCGUUUCGGUUGGCAACAAUAGCGCUGGUUUUCUUGGUACCCGUGUUUUCGUUAUUAUGCAAUCAAAACAAAGAAGAUGGCGGACGUAGAAGUUGCCUCGUCCAGUGGAGAUCACCAAGAAGUUGUAGAAAAGGCUGACGAAUUCCCUGAGCAGGACAAGAAACGCAGGAAAAUCUGCAAAUCCUCCGAUGGAAAGAGCAUCAAGCUAGAGCAGCGGCUCGGGGGGAUUCUGUGCUGCGCAGUGUGCCUGGACCUUCCUCGGUCAGCUGUCUACCAGUGCACCAAUGGACAUCUUAUGUGCGCUGGGUGUUUCACCCAUCUCCUGGCCGAUGCUCGCCUUCGUGAUGAAGUGGCCACGUGCCCCAAUUGCCGCAUUGAGAUUAGCAAGGGUGUGGCUUCCCGGAACCUUGCUGUCGAAAAGGCAGUCAGUGAAUUGCCUGCUGAGUGCCAAUUUUGCAACAAAGAGUUUUCUAGAAAUUCCCUUGAUCGUCAUGAGGAGCUUCUGUGUGAAGAACGUUUGACCAGCUGCCGAUUCAGUCGAAUUGGUUGCCCCUGGCGUGGACCUUUCCAUGAGGGGAAAGAACAUGAGAAUGUUUGCACCCAUCCUCACAAGUCUGGUGCAGAGGUCAUGGAAACUUUACUGUCUAUGGAUAACAAGCUUGAACAGGAAAAAAGACUUUAUGACCAUAUUUUUGAAAUGCUUAAUUAUGAGAAGGUCAUCUUUAACGACUUGCAAAUGAAACCUUACCGCACUGAUGAGUUUAUGCAUAAACUAUUCUAUGAGACAAGCCGCUUCUCAGCAUUUAACCAUCAGUGGGUGGUAAAGGCAAGAAUCAACAACAGUCAGCGAGACCCCUCUCUGAGCUCAGAACGGGAGAUGACAUACCAGAGGUCUACAAAAGCAGCACUGAUUCAACUUUGAAGAUUCCAACAUAAGAGUCAUUAUGAACAGGCUUUGAGGUAGUGUUCAUUUUGAAAGCCAUGGGGAAUGCAUCAAAUUGGCCACCAGCUACUAAGCUGCACAGCAGCUUAUUCUGAAGACGAAGACAACAUGCCCACUCUCCAUGUCAUUCCUUGUGAUCCGUGGACCUUUUGGAGACAUGAAGGCUACUCCCAAAGUGGACAAGUUUGACUUCACCGAUCAAGAGAAUGAAAGUCCCUAUG
rnacentral:misc_RNA from 1 species